rnacentral:misc_RNA from 1 species
GAAUUGUACAAAAUCAAAUGGAUACGCUUUUCCCCGGAUUAUGGUUGUCGGAGAUCACCGCCGAUCUCUACGAGGUGCCGGAAAUCCAAGAAAACGGAAAGAGAUAGUAACCGGACCCCAAUCGCCUUAGAAGUUAGACAACCGGCCGGCAACUUGCGACGCUGCUAAGCUAAAUCCAUGGAUGAGGACGUACAACGAAGCUCCAUCUUCUGGAAUCGAGAAAUAAUUGCACAUUG